GGCGAGCGAACGGGGAGGAGCCCAGAGCCUGAAUCAGUGUGUGUGUUAGUGGAAGCGUCUGGAAAGGCGCGCGAUACAGGGUGACAGCCCCGUACACAAAAAUGCACAUACUGUGAGCUCGAUGAGUAGGGCGGGACACGUGGUAUCCUGUCUGAAUAUGGGGGGACCAUCCUCCAAGGCUAAAUACUCCUGACUGACCGAUAGUGAACCAGUACCGUGAGGGAAAGGCGAAAAGAACCCCGGCGAGGGGAGUGAAAAAGAACCUGAAACCGUGUACGUACAAGCAGUGGGAGCCUCUUUUAUGGGGUGACUGCGUACCUUUUGUAUAAUGGGUCAGCGACUUAUAUUCUGUAGCAAGGUUAACCGAAUAGGGGAGCCGAAGGGAAACCGAGUCUUAACUGGGCGUUAAGUUGCAGGGUAUAGACCCGAAACCCGGUGAUCUAGCCAUGGGCAGGUUGAAGGUUGGGUAACACUAACUGGAGGACCGAACCGACUAAUGUUGAAAAAUUAGCGGAUGACUUGUGGCUGGGGGUGAAAGGCCAAUCAAACCGGGAGAUAGCUGGUUCUCCCCGAAAGCUAUUUAGGUAGCGCCUCGUGAAUUCAUCUCCGGGGGUAGAGCACUGUUUCGGCAAGGGGGUCAUCCCGACUUACCAACCCGAUGCAAACUGCGAAUACCGGAGAAUGUUAUCACGGGAGACACACGGCGGGUGCUAACGUCCGUCGUGAAGAGGGAAACAACCCAGACCGCCAGCUAAGGUCCCAAAGUCAUGGUUAAGUGGGAAACGAUGUGGGAAGGCCCAGACAGCCAGGAUGUUGGCUUAGAAGCAGCCAUCAUUUAAAGAAAGCGUAAUAGCUCACUGGUCGAGUCGGCCUGCGCGGAAGAUGUAACGGGGCUAAACCAUGCACCGAAGCUGCGGCAGCGACGCUUAUGCGUUGUUGGGUAGGGGAGCGUUCUGUAAGCCUGUGAAGGUGUACUGUGAGG
rnacentral:rRNA from 1 species